UACAGAGGUCUCAAGCGUUGUUCGGAUUCAUUGGGCGUAAAGGGUGUGUAGGUGGCGCCGUAAGUCGGGUGUGAAAUUUCGGAGCUUAACUCCGAAACUGCAUUCGAUACUGCGGUGCUUGAGGACUGGAGAGGAGACUGGAAUUCAUGGUGUAGCAGUGAAAUGCGUAGAGAUCAUGAGGAAGACCAGUGGCGAAGGCGGGUCUCUGGAC
rnacentral:rRNA from 1 species